rnacentral:lncRNA from 1 species
AUAUAUAUUAUACAUAUAAAUAUAUAAAUAUUAUAUAUAAUAUAUAAAUAUUAUAUAUAAAUAUUAUAUAUAAUAUAUAAAUAUUAUAUAUAAUGUAUAAAUAUUAUAUAUAAAUAUAUAAAUAUUUAUAUAUAAAUAUAUAAAUAUUUAUAUAUAAAUAUAUAAAUAUUUAUAUAUAAAUACAUGAAUAUUAUAUAUAAAU